AAUCGAAGCAGUGAACUUAAGCCCCAGUAAACGGCGGCCGUAACUAUAACGGUCCUAAGGUAGCGAAAUUCCUUGUCGGGUAAGUUCCGACCCGCACGAAAGGCGUAACGAUUUGGGCACUGUCUCAACAACAGACUCGGUGAAAUUGUAAUUCCGGUGAAGAUGCCGGAUACCUGCGACAGGACGGAAAGACCCCAUGGAGCUUUACUGUAGCUUGACAUUGGGUCUUGGUACUACAUGUACAGGAUAGGUGGGAGGCUUUGAAACCAGGACGCCAGUUUUGGCGGAGCCAUCCUUGGGAUACCACCCUUGUAGUACUGGGACUCUAACCAUAGGCCAUGAAUCUGGUCUUGGGACACUGUCAGGUGGGCAGUUUGACUGGGGCGGUCGCCUCCCAAAAGGUAACGGAGGCGCUCAAAGGUUCUCUCAGUACGGUCGGAAAUCGUACGUAGAGUGUAAAGGCAAAAGAGAGCUUGAUUGCAAGACAUACAGGUCGAGCAAGGAUGAAAAUCGGACUUAGUGAUCCGGUGGUUCUGCGUGGAAGGGCCAUCGCUCAACGGAUAAAAGCUACCCUGGGGAUAACAGGCUUAUCUCCCCCAAGAGUCCACAUCGACGGGGAGGUUUGGCACCUCGAUGUCGGCUCAUCACAUCCUGGGGCUGUAGUAGGUCCCAAGGGUUGGGCUGUUCGCCCAUUAAAGUGGUACGCGAGCUGGGUUCAGAACGUCGUGAGACAGUUCGGUCCCUAUCCGUCGCAGGCGUAGGAAAUUUGAGAAGACCUGUCCUUAGUACGAGAGGACCGGGAUGGACGUACCUCUGGUGUACCAGUUGU
rnacentral:rRNA from 1 species